GACGAACGCUGGCGGUGUGCUUCACACAUGCAAGUCGAGCGGGUGAAAGUGGUAGCUUGCUACCAUGAGUAGUCAGCGGCGGACGGGUGAGUAAUACGUAGGAAUCUGCCUUUAGGUGGGGGACAACGGACUGAAAGGUCCGCUAAUACCCCAUAUGCGAGUAAUCGUGAAAGGAGCAAUUCGCCUGAAGAUGAGCCUGCGUCCGAUUAGCUAGUUGGCGGGGUAAUAGCCCACCAAGGCAACGAUCGGUAGUUGGUCUGAGAGGAUGAUCAGCCAC
rnacentral:rRNA from 1 species